UAAAAAAUGAGGGUACUCCAUUAAGAAUUUUCAUGUUUUUGAAUGAAUAUGCGAAUAUUGAUAUGUUCUUCCCCUGCAUGAACCGCCAUUCAACAUUUAAUUUACAUCACACAAAAGGAUAAACAUAGAAUUAUCAUGGAAUAAGUAUAUCAACAUACAUGGACUACAAUAAAGCAUAAAAUUAGUAACAUACGAUCUAAAAAUAAAAUGAUAAACGACGUUGUUGUUCUUCUUGGUCACGCUGGUGCCAUUGAUUGAAUUCGUUUGACA
rnacentral:lncRNA from 1 species